rnacentral:rRNA from 1 species
GAUGAACGCUGGCGGCGUGCCUAAUACAUGCAAGUCGAGCGAACAGGCGAGGAGCUUGCUCCUCUGACGUUAGCGGCGGACGGGUGAGUAACACGUGGAUAACCUACCUAUAAGACUGGGAUAACUUCGGGAAACCGGAGCUAAUACCGGAUAAUAUAUUGAACCGCAUGGUUCAAUAGUGAAAGACGGUUUUGCUGUCACUUAUAGAUGGAUCCGCGCCGCGUUAGCUAGUUGGUAAGGUAACGGCUUACCAAGGCAACGAUGCGUAGCCGACCUGAGAGGGUGAUCGGCCACACUGGAACUGAGACACGGUCCAGACUCCUACGGGAGGCAGCAGUAGGGAAUCUUCCGCAAUGGGCGAAAGCUUGACGGAGCAACGCCGCGUGAGUGAUGAAGGUCUUCGGAUCGUAAAACUCUGUUAUUAGGGAAGAACAAAUGUGUAAGUAACUAUGCACGUCUUGACGGUACCUAAUCAGAAAGCCACGGCUAACUACGUG